CACACACACAUAGAGUUAAAUUUAUUCAGAGGAACCGUUUCUUGUUGUCUCGGCAAGAAAGAGGAACAAUUCAUUUUAAGAUAAGAACGGAAAGUACCAAGCCAUGAAAAUAGAAGAUGGUUUUCUGGGUGAAAAGUCAUAUCCAUAGUUUCAGUUCGAUUAUUACAUAUACGAGAGUGGUUUCUGUCUCUCUGUCUGGUGAGGGGUCAGGAGCUAGUCGCGAGGUGAAACAGGGUGCAAUUGUGGUUAGCACACAGACGCACACACACACACACUCAGUUAGAGAAUCAUUUAUAGGUGAAUUGAGAAAGAGCAUUUGAGGACGAGACACAGACAGUAGGUGAAGAGGUGACACAAAGAGCAUGUGAGACGCACACACACACACACUCAGUUAGAGAAUCAUUUAUAGGUGAAAGUUUAAUCAUGUUUUGCUGAUGUUGCAAAGAGCAGUUUGUCGCAGAACUGCUGCGAGCAUCCGGCAGUGACAGGAAGCACCUGUUGUGAAGAUAGGAGACAAUUGUUCUUUUAAACUGUGUCAAAAGUCGUUGUGGUUUUGAUUUGAUCUAUGUAUAAAAUGUGUCUGUGACGUAUGAAGGGGCGUCAGUAAACAAACCCUGAUGCUAUAAAAUAUCUGUUCAUGCUUUGAUUGAGUCGAGGACUACUGGCUGUCUGCGUACAGAGUGUCCUCCCACGCGUGUAUUCAUUAAAAUCAUCGUUUGACUUCACCCG
ensembl:lncRNA